rnacentral:lncRNA from 1 species
GGGAUAUAAACAAGGGCAGAUAUCUGUGUGUGCAUUUCUUGAAUGAGGACACGGAGGCUAAGAAAGUGAUCUGGCCCAGGGUCAUAUAUUUGAAAAUACCAUGGUUGUGACUAGAACCCUGUUUCCUGGGAUACCACCAUCAGAAGAGCUAUUUAGUAGCUGGCCACCAUUUAGCCCUUAAUGCUUCAUGUGUGCUGAGCAUAGGCUCAUCAUUGAUUUGUUUUUGUCCUUUGUCCCUCUGAUGCUUUGGCAGUUGUGAGUCCCUAACAAGGACCCCCAUCUGAGCAGAGCCUCACUCAAGGAAUAUUUAAGUUCUUUGUCAUGUACAUCAGCUCUGGUGUGGAGUUUCCAGUUUCUAUUUCUAACUUUUGAUACCCACUCUUAGUAAUAAAAGCAAAAUAAUCUAUUUUUAUAAAAUGACUCAGAUGUCUCUGGAAACAUUUUACAAUGCUUGGAAUGUUUUGUUUUAAUAAUUUCCGAUCUGUAUGCAAUAAGGCAUUUCAAUGCAAGAACAAAUAUGAGAUUGCUCACUCUAGUGGAGUUCAAAUUUUGCUUUACACUUUGCUUGCAUUUAAAUUUAAUCAGAGUUGAUCCUCAGAUGAGUUGAAUUUGUUACAACCGCCUCAGCUAUUUGCUUAUUUAUGGAGAGUGCUCUCUGCUUUUCAUCUUAUCUCCCUCCUCCAUUUCCUUAAGCCUCAAAAACCUUUUUAUGAUCUAAUGGUUUCCUGCACUGACGUCUGGAUAUCCAGAGCCUGCUCCAAAUUCUGC